GAUGAACGCUGGCGGCGUGCUUAACACUUGCAAGUCGAACGAAGCAUUUGCGACAGAUUUUUUCGGAAUGAAGUUGCUUAUGACUGAGUGGCGGACGGGUGAGUAACGCGUGGGUAACCUGCCUUGUACUGGGGGAUAGCAGCUGGAAACGGCUGGUAAUACCGCAUAAGCGCACAAUGUUGCAUGACAUGGUGUGAAAAACUCCGGUGGUAUAAGAUGGACCCGCGUCUGAUUAGCUAGUUGGUGAGAUAACAGCCCACCAAGGCGACGAUCAGUAGCCGACCUGAGAGGGUGACCGGCCACAUUGGGACUGAGACACGGCCCAGACUCCUACGGGAGGCAGCAGUGGGGAAUAUUGCACAAUGGAGGAAACUCUGAUGCAGCGACGCCGCGUGAGUGAAGAAGUAAUUCGUUAUGUAAAGCUCUAUCAGCAGGGAAGAUAGUGACGGUACCUGACUAAGAAGCUCCGGCUAAAUACGUG
rnacentral:rRNA from 1 species